rnacentral:misc_RNA from 1 species
AAUGAGUCGGGACCGUAUACGAGUAGCUUGAACGACAACGUUUUCCCUCUUUUUUCCAUUUCCAGUUCAAGACAUAACCUCAUUUCACAACCGCCUCUCCUGUGCUCCACGGCACUGAACGACGGAUUUCAAGACGCCUCUCACCGUUUCAGAGAGAAGAUCUUUUGGCUACCAAACGAAAAUCAAAGCAUUUGCAGAGAGCUAAGUAGAACAAGGAGAAGAUGUUGAGAGUUGCAGCGAGGAGGCUUUCUUCUUUCUGUUCCACGCAGCCAUCGUGGAGGCCCAACCAGGCUGCCUCAGCAAUCGUGUCGCGGAAUCCGACCAACGGCGGGGGCCAUUCAUUGUUGGGAGGUCUUGGCAACAACUUUUCUGGCUUGUUGGACUCAUCACAUCAGAUGACAUGCAGUUUUUUUUAUGUCUCAGCAACAUAGGACUUUCAUCCAAAUGAGGACAGUUCUCAAAGUUGUGGACAAUUCAGGUGCAAAGAAGGUGAUGUGCAUACAAGCUCUGAAGGGGAAGAAAGGGGCAAGAUUAGGAGACACGAUAGUAGCUUCGGUAAAGGAAGCUAUGCCAAAUGGAAAAGUGAAGAAAGGAAAGGUUGUGUAUGGUGUAGUAGUGCGUGCUGCCAUGCAACGGGGACGUUGUGAUGGUAGUGAGGUUAAGUUUGAUGACAACGCUGUUGUACUGGUGGAUAAGCAAGGUCAGCCAAUUGGGACUAGAGUGUUUGGGCCAGUCCCGCAUGAGCUAAGGAAGAAAAAGCAUGUCAAGAUCCUUACUCUGGCAGAGCAUAUUGCCUGAGGUAUUGGAUAUAUUGUUCUGAAAAUUUGAAAUUUGUGGUCUUUCCUGUGCUAUGGACUUUCGAUUGUAUCGUUGAGGGGCAAACUUUGAGGAAAAGAAUCAAAAUGUUGUAGGCUAUGUUGAAUAGCUAAACAUAUUUCUUUUGAAAUCUGCAAAUCUAUUGCAUGCAUUACUGGUUUGAACUAGGG